UGUUUAAAUCUAAAUGCAAAGUAACAUAUGGCCUGGAUGAAAAUGAUAACUACUCAAUGUAAUAUUAUCACGUGCUAUUCGCCCUUUAUUGUUUUCACUAAAAACUUCGACGAAAUAAACACGGAAAAUUUCUCAAGGAGUCAUUUGUCAAUAUUGCUGGAUCGAAAUCAAUCAAAAAAUUUUUUUUUUGCGGAAAAAUCACGUCUCGUCUCAAUUGCCAUCUGAAGUAUAAUAGGUAUACUAAAAAUACCUAAAAGCCUGAGGCUAAAUUAAUCACGGUGACAUCAAAUACUGCAUCACUCAGGUAUUUGGGUUUAAAGCAACUAACUAGAUGUAAAUCUUUUCUUCCAUUGCGUCAAGAGCAGUAGCAGUUUUCAUGGGAGUACGUGGGCUCACUUAAAAACUUUAAGAACAAAUAUUGUUACAUACGACUUCGUCUGCUCUCAGUGGGCAGUUUUGAGGUUGCUUUAGGCGGAAACGCCUAACAAAUGGCUCCAACGCCGCCCCAGCUCUCAUCACGCCAUCAACCGCCCACAGAAGAAAGAUAUACACGCUAUCCGCGUACUCGUUGGUUAAAGAGCUUACAAUGACGCAUUCAAGGAACUGCAGGGUAUGAUUUGUGUUAGAUAAACAAGUGAUGUCCUAAUCGCUCUGACGUAUUAAAAAAUACUCCAGCAUAAUUUUUGGCCCAAAGGUCGAUCAGGUUCAUUUGUUGUUUUCCUUUUAUUAAUUCAUUGACGAGAAAAUUGGGUCAUAAACAAGACAAACCGUGUUUAUAACAUUUUUGUAAAAGGGACGCAUAGUUAACAGGCCUCGAUCCCUUUCAUUAACUAUUGCGGUCAACAAAAAUUACCAAGAAGAUUUCAACGUUGUGGUCGGUUAUUAAUGGACUCCAACAGAGCAGCUGCUGUUCAAUGGAGGUUCAACAGUAUAAAGCAGGUUGGUGACAUAAUACAUGAUUGCAUGAUAACACUGUGUAUCGAGACGUCAGUUACGACUGCUUCAUUCCUGUAGCCCCCCCCCCCCCCC